UACGAAGGGGGCUAGCGUUGCUCGGAAUCACUGGGCGUAAAGGGUGCGUAGGCGGGUCUUUAAGUCAGGGGUGAAAUCCUGGAGCUCAACUCCAGAACUGCCUUUGAUACUGAAGAUCUUGAGUUCGGGAGAGGUGAGUGGAACUGCGAGUGUAGAGGUGAAAUUCGUAGAUAUUCGCAAGAACACCAGUGGCGAAGGCGGA
rnacentral:rRNA from 1 species